rnacentral:rRNA from 1 species
GCGUAUAUUAAGUUGUUGCAGUUAAAACGCUCGUAGUCGGGUUUCGGGUCGGGCCGAGCGGUCUGCCGAUGGGUAUGCACUGUUUGGCGCGGCCUUCUUUCCGGAGACCGCGGCUACUCUUAACUGAGCGGGCGUGGGAGACGGAUCGUUUACUUUGAAAAAAUCAGAGUGUUUCAAGCAGGCAGCUCGCUCUUGCAUGGUACAGCAUGGGAUGAUUGAAUAGGACUCCGGUGCUAUUUUGUUGGUUUCGAACACCAGGAGUAAUGAUUAACAGGGACAGUCAGGGGCACUCGUAUUCCGUCGAGAGAGGUGAAAUUCUCAGACCAAUGGAAGACGAACCACUGCGAAAGCAUUUGCCAGGGAUGUUUUCACUGAUCAAGAACGAAAGUUAGGGGAUCGAAGACGAUCAGAUACCGUCGUAGUCUUAACCAUAAACCAUGCCGACUAGGGAUUGGAGGGUGUUCGUUUCGACCUCUUCAGCACCUUACGGGAAACUAAAGUCUUUGGGUUCCGGGGGGAGUAUGGUCGCAAGGCUGAAACUUAAAGGAAUUGACGGAAGGGCACCACCAGGAGUGGAGC